GGUCAAUGAUGAUUGGUAAAAGGUCUGAUGCGCCGAACGUCACAGUCCUCUCCCUGCCCUUGGCUCCCAGCUGCCCAUUGUGUUUCCUGGCACAGUUGAGUCAUGUGCCGGGGUAGCCGAGCGGCUGACAUGCAGGGACCCUGUCAUCAUGUGUUCUGAGAGUGAGCAGUUCACAGCCGACUCAGGUCCAACAUGACCACUUCUGCAGGAGCAUGACGAGCAGCAGGAGGGUGUGACGGUGCCUGAUCUCAAGUUUUCAAUCUGAGACC
ensembl:scaRNA